rnacentral:rRNA from 1 species
CUACGGGGCGCAGCAGUGGGGAAUAUUGGACAAUGGGGGAAACCCUGAUCCAGCAAUGCCGCGUGUGUGAAGAAGGCCUGCGGGUUGUAAAGCACUUUCGGUUGGGAGGACUGCUUCUAGCACUAAUAUUGUUGGAAGUUGACGUUACCUUCAGGAGAAGCACCGGCUAACUCCGUGCCAGCAGCCGCGGUAAUACGGAGGGUGGCAAGCGUUAAUCGGAAUUACUGGGCGUAAAGCGCGCGUAGGCGGCUAGAUCAGUCGGGUGUGAAAGCCCCGGGCUUAACCUGGGAACUGCAUCCGAUACUAUCUAGCUUGAGUACAGGAGAGGGGAGUGGAAUUCCACAUGUAGCGGUGAAAUGCGUAGAUAUGUGGAGGAACACCAAUGGCGAAGGCAGCUCUCUGGCCUGAUACUGACGCUGAGGUGCGAAAGCGUGGGGAGCAAACAGGAUUAGAUACCCCAGUAGUC